rnacentral:rRNA from 1 species
UACGAAGGGGGCUAGCGUUGCUCGGAAUCACUGGGCGUAAAGGGUGCGUAGGCGGGUCUUUAAGUCAGGGGUGAAAUCCUGGAGCUCAACCCCAGAACUGCCUUUGAUACUGAAGAUCUUGAGUUCGGGAGAGGUGAGUGGAACUGCGAGUGUAGAGGUGAAAUUCGUAGAUAUUCGCAAGAACACCAGUGGCGAAGGCGGCUCACUGGCCCGGUACUGACGCUGAGGUGCGAAAGCGUGGGGAGCAAACAGG